GUCUGCAAUGCUCUUGCGACCGACGUUAGCUAAAUAUGUGUCCACAUUCUACCUGCUACCAAAGCAACGCCAUGAGCAAUGCCACGAACAACAAUGCUGCUACGCCUGUAAUAGCUCAGUACUCCUCUGUGUAUGUACAUUAUCCAGCUACUAGAAUGGCCAACAGUGUUGCACUGAAUAUUUAUAUUCAAGAAUUGUGGAAGAAGGUAGUGAAAGUUCGAGAGCGCUGCCUUUAGGGGACCAGAGAUGCAAAACGUUGUUUUCAUCUUUUCCCGUUGCUCUCCCAGGGCAUACUGCUUCUGGCUUCAAGGCAACAUCAGCAGCAUUCAAUUGCAGGCCUAGCAAGAACACCCACUAGCUAUACUCAAGGCAGUAUUAUUGAGCCCUUUCUCUAAGUCUAUGUACUACCUCAGUUUAAACUUCUAGUUCUGAUUAUUGAUCAGACAAAAAAUUUCCACUCGAGCAGUCCUGCCAGAAAGCCAGGAGAUUUCCUGCACAGAAGCACAGUCCUUCCGUAUGGGUAGCCCAUAUACUGAGGCUCCCUGUUCAGUUUUGUAUCCUGACAACUAUGCCCCUGGGGUGCCUUGAGAUAUGCCUGAAGUACUUCUCUACCAUCCACCUACUCUUUAUUGGCUCUUCACCCUGACACUAGACAACAGCCUCACACUGAUCCUCUUCACCUUGCCACAGAGCAUUCCCCAGCUGCAAGGUGCCAUGAACAUGUCUUGGGAUAAUGGUCCAUCUUUACACAUUUGCAGAAAAUGCUUCAGAGAAUCACGAACCCUAAAUUUAUGAUUUUCCCCCAUCUACCUGAACUCCAACUUAAGCCAAGUUUAACGACAAAAAGCUGCCAAAGAAUUAUUAAGCAAGCAAUAAAUUUAGACUUUUAGUUGAAGAAUGGAAACCCUGAACUCCCACUUAUAUCCUAAGCCUGGUUGCUCAGCCAGUAAUCUUUAGAUCUGUAACCUCUAUCUUUUUUAUACUUUGCUGUUAGUUUUGGAACACAAAAGCAAAUACCCUAAGUGCACCAGCACAGUACGGAUAAUUUUAUCAGUGGGAACUAUGGUCAUACUUAUAUAGUGAAGACCAUCUCUUAACAAGGGAUGCCUUUUAAACUGGAGACUACAUCCACAACCAGCAAUGCCAGAAACUGAUGAACUGAAAUCAAGUAACAAGUAACUAUACAAAAUUUGCUUUUAUGGAAUACAAUAUGAAACACAGGCUAAAGUAUCCUCUUUGAAUAACCUGAGACCUGUUACUUUAAUUUAUUAGACAUUUGGAAUUGCACACAGGGAAAA